AACAACACCAAAGGUCACGUUUAUAUAGCAAAAAUCCAACACCCUUUUCCUAUCAAGAAUAUGUUUCUAAUAAGGAAUACCCCGAUCCGAAACCGACUUUAGCCAUAUUAUAAAGAAAAAUAAAAAAAAAGAACGAAUUACAUACGUGUUAUUGGUUACCGAUUUAAAUAGAGUUUUAGUAAUUUAAAAUAUUGUGGAGAAUCUGUUGUUAUUUAAUCAAGACUUUUAAAAAGUUUGUUAAAGUUAGGUGUUAAUAGUUUAAUAUUUGUAAAAAGUAAUCUAAAAUCUUCAUAAAUUUAGAGUUAUUGGAUUCAUACUUUUAUAAAAAUUCAUUAAAAGUUUGUUUCAAAUAAAAUAAAAGAAUUUAUGAUUGUUAAUGAAUUAAAUUAUUGUGUUAUUGGUUUAUGACUUUCUACGCUUUUCGUUAAAAAAAAUAAAGUCAUGAAAAAUAUCAUCAAAAUAGAGAGAUUGUUUGAAAAGCUAAUCAACAACAUUAUAGAAAAUUCUCAAACAAUAGUUUAGAAUUUUUGAUACUGACACCCAACUUCAACAAACUUUUUAAAGCCUUCAAAAUUCUUGGUAAUUUAAGAAUCAAUAACACACCAAAAAGAAAAGAAAAGACCAAAACAAUAACACUGACUUUAGCAAUAAAUUAAGUGUAAUGGGCCCAUAUCAAGAUGAACAAUGAUGCUUCCACAUGACCAGGGUUACUAACAUCCAGUUUAUAAUACAUUGUUUUGUACUAACUAAAGAGUUUGCAAACCCUUUAACCCUUCUAUGACCAGCGUUAAUAACAUCCAGUUAAGCGUUAAUAAUGAAGCUAAGGAAGGCUACUGUACAAGUUUCAAGGAGAGAAGGAUUGCUUGAAAUUCAUGACCAAUAACGAAUACAUGAUAUGUUACCAGUUACCACCAUUAUGUGAAAAUGUUACGUUAAGAACAAAUAUUUGGAUUGUUAAUUUAUUAAAAAUGAUGUUAAAGAAACAUUAGACUAACAUAGCUUAUUACUGAUUCAUGUCAACACCACAAACUCUCACAACUUGUCUUAUACUCUUAUUAGUAAAACCAUCAAUUCCAUUCCAUCUUUCUCUGUUUCGAUUCCCAUCCGUAACGUUUUCAUUUGGUCAGGCGAAAUUAUGUCAUGAUUUUGACUCAUUAGAGAAUUACCAAGUUCCUGAUUUUGGUAAGAAUAUAUAUAUAUAGAGACAACACCAACGACUUUUCAUACCAUAUUUUAAUCAUUUAGCAAUGACAAGUUGUGACUAGAUAUUUGAGAAUAAAGUGAAAAACAGAGUAAAUGUUACGAGGCUCUUGUUUUGAGUUAAUGUCAUAGAAGAGAUUGAAACAAGAAACUGAAGACAGAGGUAAAUCAUAUAUAGACGAUGUGCCGAAACUUAGAUGAAUCAAACUAACACACUUGCAUCAUUUUAUUAAGCAGAGCCACCAACUCGGGAUUCUCUAAUGCUGCAGUCACACGUUCUUUAUCCCCAAGUUGUUUAUUGACUGCAUUAUAACAUCAAUUUGAGGAUCAAAUUCAAAACAUUUACUUCCACUGCAACCAAAAAAUAAAAAUGAAAGUUUAUACCUGUCGUCUCUUUAUCAUGACUCCCUGGUGCUACUCUCACAUCAACCUGAGAUUUCAUUACAACAAAAUUAGCUUUAAGAUUACAAAGAAUAUUCUUAAUAAACAAAAAUUGAACACAACACAACAACAAUACCUUGAAUCUAGCAGGUAAGCUUUGCACAAGUUUGACUAAGAUGCAAAGACCAAUAUGGGUUGGCAAGUGACAAUGAGGAAGAGUUGGAGUGAAUGUAAUUCUGUAAAAAGAUAGCACAACUUAAUAGAUUGGAGUAAAGAGAAAAAGCUAUUAAUCACAACAUUUGUUUUUUCUUUUUACCUAACGUAACUCUUGUGAUCAUCAACUUCAACUGAUUCUUCAGUAAGAACAUUGAGAUCUUCCAAAGAAAGUUCAGGAUGCUCUGGAUCUUUGAUAUCUCUUAUACGAUUUGUAGACUGUUAAGGGAAACAAAAAAAAGAAGAUGAUCCAAUAACAAUAUAAACAUAACUACGAGAAAGUCAUUGUCUUAGUAAUGAAUAACAAAAAUUAAGGAUAUCAAAAAUCUCGAGCUGAUCAAUUGGUUCUACUGAAAACUCAUCGGUACUGCUCUGAUCAGUACGAUAACGCCGUGUUCUCUUCGGAUAAAUAAUUGGGUUCUUAUUGGUUAAUACAGAAUCCAUGUUUUUCUCUCCUGAACGCAUAAACCCUAACGAUCAAUUAGUAGAAAACCGAAGAAGCUUAUCGAAUGAGACGUGGGAGACCUCAAUAAACCUAAACCUAAAUAUAAUCUGAGUCAUGAAGUUAAUUAUACAAAUCAUAUAAAGGAAAUAUCGGGAAAUACUUAAACGGCGCCGUACUCUCGGUAAUGUAAUUCUCGUAUCCAAUUUUCGUUUUAAUUGUUUCCUUUUUUAAAAAGGAAUAUUUUCUUUUACAUAUACACUAUGGUUUUCCUAUUCGAAAAGUGAACUAAUAUGGUUAAUAAUAAUACAUGGUGGAUUAGGAAUGAUAAUUCCCUAUAUAAACACUUUAGGUGGUAUUGGCAAAAAAAAAAGAAGAAAACUUGAGGUGAGAUUGGUCGAGAUUUCUGGAUACAUAAAGAAGUUAACAGAAGGAACAAGCGCAAGAAAAGGCCAUCCAUACAACUAUCGCAAGUGUGCACUUCCAUAGCCAUGAAUGGAGAAGAGACGACACCUUUUAAAAGAAGACAGAUGACAAUUCUGAUGCUUCCUAAUGAUUUGCUAUUCAACUGCUUAGCCCGCAUCUCAAGAUUGUAUUAUCCAACUCUCUCGUUAGUCUCCACGAGAUUCCGCUCUCUCCUUGCUUCAACGGAACUUUAUCAAACCCGAACCCACCUGGGCCGCACCGAGAGAUGUCUUUAUGUGUGUUUCCGACUAUUUACCGAAUCUGACCAACUACGUUGGUUCACGCUCUGUCAGGGACCAUUUAACUCCAAAAAAAUUUUGGUUCCGAUUUCAUCUCCUAAUUUUCCAUCUGCAUCCUGGUCGGAUGCUGCAAUAGUCGGUCCUAACAUCUAUGCUAUUGGAGGGUUAGUAAAUAAGAAUUAUUCGUCUAGCGUCAUGGUCAUGGAUUGUUAUUCUCACACAUGGCGUGAGGCACCAAGUAUGCAUGUGGCCCGUUUGUCCCACUCUGUUUGUGUCCAUGAUGGGAAAAUAUAUGUAACAGGAGGUUGCAAAAAUCUUGAUUCAACGAAUUGGAUGGAGGUUUUUGAUACGCAGACCCAAACUUGGGAGUUUUUGCAGAUCCCUAGCGAGGAGAUAUUUGGAGGCUCAAAGUACAGAAGCGUAGAGUAUGAAGGAACUGUCUAUGUAAAGUCUGAGGCAAAGGAUGUGACUUACAAGCUGCAUAAAGGUAGAUGGCGAACAGCAGACAUAGCGAUAAAUAAAGGGUGGUGAUGUCCUUCAUUAUCCCAUUAUUGUGUGAUAGAGAACGUGUUCUACCGUUAUACUGAUAGAAGAAUCGAAUGGUAUGACUCCGAAAAAAGAUUAUGGACAACUUUGAAAGGUGUGGAAAAAUUGCGUAGUUUUUCUCGUGUAAACUUGGUGAAUUAUGGUGGGAAAAUGGCAGUUGUGUCGGUAGAGUAUGUGUUCGGUAAGAAGGAGGCAAAAAUUUGGUGGGCGGAAAUUGCGAUUGAAAAACGUCAAACGGGAGAGAUUUGGGGAAUGCUAGAGUGGCUUGACAUUGUGUUUAGAACCAAUGACAAGUCAUAUAGUUUAGAGCGUGCUCUUGCUACUACCAUUUGAUGGCUAUGAAUCAUGACUCAUAAUUGUGUAAACAUAAUGAAUCAUUCACCAACAUAUAUGAACCAAAGGACAAGUCAAAUUGUGUGUAUAAGAUUAUGUGCAUAUCGUAGAGAUUUAUGAAGCAAUUUAAUAGUAAUAUGACUAGAUUACACAAAAAUAAAGUAAUUGACUUUGUUUGCCUUUGCUAAUCUUUUGUUUUUCUCUUUGAAAUUAUCAGCAUUUCACAAGUUUUCUGAUUUCAACAAAUCUAACUAUCAUAGAAGGUUUCUGGUUAUGAAAUGAAUUAUUAAUUUAGGAAUCGAAUCCUUAUGAUGUUUCUCUUUAUCUCGAGACUUUUAAGUUGAGAACAUAUUGUGUAAUGAAUAGUGAGUCUACUCUUUAACACAAAAGCAUGAGCUUUUAAAUUAUUUGGUUAUUGGAUGUCUCUAGAUGCUGAUACAAACGAACGAACUGUAUUCAAAUACAUUAAAAUUAGUGUUGCUUUUAUGUGCAAUAAAAGAAUUAACUAUUAUUUGGAAAAGAAAAAAAAAUACAUUAACACUACAUGUAUGUGUAGGUAAACCGUAUCCCUACAGCUGAGAGUCUCCGACCGCUGUAGCGUAGGGGAGUCAUCUGCUAAAGUCGUUAAGUGAGCAUGUGUGAACCUACGAAAAAACCACUAGUACAUGGAGAAAAUCAAGAGCGUUGACUCUCGCAUAGUCAAUGUCCUGUAAAAUAUUAUGAAUCAUGGAUCUCCAACUCUGAUACACUAAAAUGAAUUGUGUCUUCGCGGCACCGUGCUUAGCGUUUAUAGAUCCGUAAGCUAAAGAAAAAAUAUAAUUUAUGGUAAUGAAAUAAAUUUUCAAUAAUAACUUAUAGUUAUAAUAUAAAAAUGUAGUUUAAUAUUUGAUAAUGUAUUACAAAAAGUUAUGCAAAAUAAUUUAUAAAAUAGUUAGUCACAAAAAUUGUACAAAACUAAAAAAGUCUUAUGUGAUUAACUAUGAUAUGCCUAAUGAUUUGUGCUAGUGCCAUUGUCGCAUGUCGUAAUUUUGUAAUCGGGUCUUUUGUCACCUCUCAUUUUUAAACCGGUAUAAUGCAUGCAUGUUAUUGAAGAAAAAAAAGUUGUAAUAUACAAAAUUUGUUAUUUAAUAUUAAAUUUGUAAUACACAUUUCAAAAGCCGGCUAAAACCGGCGAACCAUCAAAACCCCGGUUCUUCAAGUUUUUAGUCUUUCACCAUUGCUUUUUUGUGUUUUUUUACAGUAAAAUUAGUUUUCUAUCAUUUGCAUUGAUUUAUUUGAUCUAAAUAUUGUGUGAUAGAGAAUGUGUUCUAGAUUGUAAUUGUACAAUGAUCCAAUGGUAUGACUCCGAAAAGAGUUUAUGGACAACUUUGAAAAGUUUGGAAAAAUGGCCUAGUUUUUUUUUAUGUAAACUUGGUGAAUUAUGGUGGGAAAAUGACAGUUGUAUUGGUGGAGCAUAUGUUCGGUAAGAAGGUCACAAAAGUACAGUGUGCGAAAAUUGCGAUUGAAAAACGCCAAAAGAGAGAGAUUUGGGGAAUGGUAGAGUGGUUUGACAUUUGUGUUUACAACCAAUGGAGUCGUGCAUGCUCUUGCUACUACCAUUUGAAGGAUUCAUUCACCAACGUAAGGAAUAAAUCACUUUGUUUUUACUUUUUUUUAAAAAAAAUUAUUCAUUAAUUUUUGUCAUAUUUGAAAUUCUAGAAUUAAUCCAUAAAAUUUUCGAACUCAUUAACCAAGCCAAAUAAAUCCAUAAAAAAUUAAUUCUUCAAAAUUUAGAAACAAUGGAGGACCAAUGAAGAAAACCCAACGAACAAAGAGAUUUAAAACUAUAAUAUUAUUAUCAUUCCACUGGAAGUACAAACUCAUCACAUGGCAGAGUUGCUAGACAUCUAAAAGAUAUGAUCAAAACAAACACAAAAGACAAUGAUCGGCUAAAAGAUAAGCUGAAGCCAUUAUUACACAUAAACCAAACCUAAAAACACCAUCCUAUAUAUGGUUUACUUAUUGAAUAACUUAAUUAAUUAAAGAGACUCGAUUAUCUCUGCUUAUUUAAAAAGGCUUCUUCACUUGCAGGUGCAAGGAUCACACUUGCAGUCAGAUCCACACUUGCAAGCAUCGUUCUCAGCGUUGUUACUCUCCCCUGAAGCCUCGUACUGAUUCUUCAUCGCCGGUGCAACGCCCAAGACAAAAGUCUCAGUUGUGGUUGUCUCGCCGGAGAAUCCCAAGUCAGGGUACAUUUUGCAACUGCAACAAUCGAAAGAAAAAACCCAUCAGUAUCCUAUGAAAACAGAGAUCGUGUAAAUUCAAAAGAGUUGUAUCUUUUUACAAGAAAAAUCUCCAAGAAACCAUUCAUCAAAACAAGAUAUCAUCAUCGAUUCACAGUUGUUGCAUACUUGCAUGCAACGAUUUCACCGGAAAAUAUAAAUACAAACGAGACGUUGGAGACUUACCC
rnacentral:lncRNA from 1 species